GAAGCAUGAUCGUAAGGACAUGUGGAGCGCUUAGAAGUGAGAAUGCCGGUGUGAGUAGCGAAAGACGGGUGAGAAUCCCGUCCACCGAUUGACUAAGGUUUCCAGAGGAAGGCUCGUCCGCUCUGGGUUAGUCGGGUCCUAAGCUGAGGCCGACAGGCGUAGGCGAUGGAUAACAGGUUGAUAUUCCUGUACCACCUAUAAUCGUUUUAAUCGAUGGGGGGACGCAGUAGGAUAGGCGAAGCGUGCGAUUGGAUUGCACGUCUAAGCAGUAAGGCUGAGUAUUAGGCAAAUCCGGUACUCGUUAAGGCUGAGC
rnacentral:rRNA from 1 species